CACAAUGAAGAGAGGUGGCCUGGCCCUGGAAGCUGCUGUCUGUGCAACAGUACUAACACUCCUAAAAACGAGAAGGCCGGCAGGAGGAAAUCUUAAAUCACACACCAUUACAAGAUGAUACUGCACAAGAGUGCGGUGAGGUGGCUUACCCUGCAUGCAGGUCACCAAAUGGUAAACUCCAAUCUUAACACGCAAUCCAGAAUAGAAUCAGAGCCGAGCCAUUUCUCAAGAUGAAGGAAAAAAAGGUCUCUUUGUCUUAGCUGUAUCACCAACUAUGCUAUGUUGAAGGACUCUCCAAUAGCAACUCAAUGAAUCAGAAUGGCAGCCUAAAGAUUACAGUACUGGACCAGCAACCCAGAAGUUAACGGUAGAAAUCCUACAUGGCAAGUUCU